UUCAUUGUAAACAAAUUCAACCAAAGCGCUCUUUGGUGACAUCAUUGUAUAAAGCCCGUCCUGACAAUUUGAUUGGUCCGAACAGCUCUUGUCCGAGCACAGCUGCUCCACUAUGGAUCAUGUCCAGACCAAACUUCCCAACCUCAAAUGUUGUGGGCGGGGCUAAGUUCGACUGGCAUCCAGGCUAAACAGAUGCAUGUGAUCUCCUUUGGUUGAAAUUGAU